rnacentral:rRNA from 1 species
CACGUAGGGUGCAAGCGUUAAUCGGAAUUACUGGGCGUAAAGCGUGCGCAGGCGGUUGUGCAAGACCGAUGUGAAAUCCCCGGGCCUUAACCUGGGAAUGGCAUUGGUGACUGCACGGCUAGAGUGUGUCAGAGGGGGGUAGAAUUCCACGUGUAGCAGUGAAAUGCGUAGAGAUGUGGAGGAAUACCGAUGGCGAAGGCAGCCCCCUGGGAUAACACUGACGCUCAUGCACGAAAGCGUGGGGAGCAAACAGG